rnacentral:rRNA from 1 species
CGGGGGGGUGCCCUAAUACAUGCAAGUCCGAACGAACUCUGGUAUUGAUUGGUGCUUGCAUCAUGAUUUACAUUUGAGUGAGUGGCGAACUGGUGAGUAACACGUGGGAAACCUGCCCAGAAGCGGGGGAUAACACCUGGAAACAGAUGCUAAUACCGCAUAACAACUUGGACCGCAUGGUCCGAGUUUGAAAGAUGGCUUCGGCUAUCACUUUUGGAUGGUCCCGCGGCGUAUUAGCUAGAUGGUGGGGUAACGGCUCACCAUGGCAAUGAUACGUAGCCGACCUGAGAGGGUAAUCGGCCACAUUGGGACUGAGACACGGCCCAAACUCCUACGGGAGGCAGCAGUAGGGAAUCUUCCACAAUGGACGAAAGUCUGAUGGAGCAACGCCGCGUGAGUGAAGAAGGGUUUCGGCUCGUAAAACUCUGUUGUUAAAGAAGAACAUAUCUGAGAGUAACUGUUCAGGUAUUGACGGUAUUUAACCAGAAAGCCACGGCUAACUACGUGCCAGCAGCCGCGGUAAUACGUAGGUGGCAAGCGUUGUCCGGAUUUAUUGGGCGUAAAGCGAGCGCAGGCGGUUUUUUAAGUCUGAUGUGAAAGCCUUCGGCUCAACCGAAGAAGUGCAUCGGAAACUGGGAAACUUGAGUGCAGAAGAGGACAGUGGAACUCCAUGUGUAGCGGUGAAAUGCGUAGAUAUAUGGAAGAACACCAGUGGCGAAGGCGGCUGUCUGGUCUGUAACUGACGCUGAGGCUCGAAAGUAUGGGUAGCAAACAGGAUUAGAUACCCUGGUAGUCCAUACCGUAAACGAUGAAUGCUAAGUGUUGGAGGGUUUCCGCCCUUCAGUGCUGCAGCUAACGCAUUAAGCAUUCCGCCUGGGGAGUACGGCCGCAAGGCUGAAACUCAAAGGAAUUGACGGGGGCCCGCACAAGCGGUGGAGCAUGUGGUUUAAUUCGAAGCUACGCGAAGAACCUUACCAGGUCUUGACAUACUAUGCAAAUCUAAGAGAUUAGACGUUCCCUUCGGGGACAUGGAUACAGGUGGUGCAUGGUUGUCGUCAGCUCGUGUCGUGAGAUGUUGGGUUAAGUCCCGCAACGAGCGCAACCCUUAUUAUCAGUUGCCAGCAUUAAGUUGGGCACUCUGGUGAGACUGCCGGUGACAAACCGGAGGAAGGUGGGGAUGACGUCAAAUCAUCAUGCCCCUUAUGACCUGGGCUACACACGUGCUACAAUGGAUGGUACAACGAGUUGCGAACUCGCGAGAGUAAGCUAAUCUCUUAAAGCCAUUCUCAGUUCGGAUUGUAGGCUGCAACUCGCCUACAUGAAGUCGGAAUCGCUAGUAAUCGCGGAUCAGCAUGCCGCGGUGAAUACGUUCCCGGGCCUUGUACACACCGCCCGUCACACCAUGAGAGUUUGUAACACCCAAAGUCGGUGGGGUAACCUUUUAGGAACCAGCCGCCUAAAGGUGGUCA